GGCCCCGUAGCUCAAUGGCAGAGCAGUUGCCUUUUAAGCAAACGGUUGAAGGUUCGAGUCCUUCCGGGGUCA
rnacentral:tRNA from 1 species